AUUGAACGCUGGCGGCAGGCCUAACACAUGCAAGUCGAACGAGUGGCGGACGGGUGAGUAAUGUCUGGGAAACUGCCCGAUGGAGGGGGAUAACUACUGGAAACGGUAGCUAAGACAGCAUACCAUCGGAUGGGACCAGAUGGGAUUGGCUUGUAGGUGAGGGAACGGCUCACCUAGGCGACGAUCCCUAGCUGGUCUGAGAGGAUGAACAGCCACACUUGAACUUAGACACGGUCCAGACUCCUACGGGAGGCAGCAGUGGGGAAUAUUGCACAAUGGGCGCAAGCCUUAUGCAGCCAUGCCGCGUGUAUGAAGAAGGCCGUCGGGUUGUAAAGUACUUUCAGCGGGGAGGCGUUACCCGCAGAAGAAGCACCGGCUAACUCCGUGCCAGCAGCCGCGGUAAUAC
rnacentral:rRNA from 1 species